rnacentral:tRNA from 1 species
UUUAAUAUGGCAGAUUAGUGCAAUGAACUUAAACUUCAUUUAUAAAAAAUUUUUUUUUUGUUAAAA